CAGAUGCCCAGUUAUAUUAGAAGUUCAGGUAAACAAUGAAAAAUUUUUUAGUGUAAAUAUGUCCCAUACAAUAGUUGGGACAUACUUAUACUAAAAAUGUACUCUUGGCUUAUCUGAAAUUCAGAUGUAACUGGGCAUCUUAUA
rnacentral:miRNA from 1 species